rnacentral:rRNA from 1 species
GAUGAACGCUGGCGGCGUGCCUAAUACAUGCAAGUCGAGCGAACGGACGAGGCGCUUGCUGUUCUGAUGUUAGCGGCGGACGGGUGAGUAACACGUGGAUAACCUACCUAUAAGACUGGGAUCACUUCGGGAAACCGGCGCUAAUACCGGAUAAUAUUUUGAACCGCAGGGUUCAAAAGUGAAAUACGGUCGUGCUGUCACUUAUAGAUGGAUCCGCGCUGGAUUAGCUAGUUGGUAAGGUAACGGCUUACCAAGGCAACGAUGCCUAGCCGACCUGAGAGGGUGAUAGGCGACACUGGAACUGAGCCACCCUCCAGACGCCUGAGGUAGGCAGCAGUAGCGUAUGUUACGCAACGGUCGAGAGCCUGACGGAGCGGCGCCGCGCGAGAGACGACAGUCUCGCGUGCGGAAUACUCGGCUACGGGUGAUGAACCGAUUUGUCCUGUACUGAGCCGAUAGUGACGGUACUUAGUAAGAAAGCACCGGCUAACUACGUG